AUCGUAGUUCAGUCGUCAGUUAAAUUAGCGGAUAAUUUAUAUCUCCAAAUUGACGCAGAGUUGCAAAGAAUAGUACCGAUAAAUCAAAAAUUAAGAUGCACAAUAUUAUUUGGAAUCGUAGAGUUGGAUCCGCAAUUUAGGACUACAAUUCUAGAUUAACCCCAGUGUUUUAGCCAAGCUCCAGCCAUAGCGAUAGAGUGACUCUCGAUCCUCAUCAAGGCCAUGGCGACAAGAUGGGAUAUGAUCAUUAAGGCCACAGCGACAAAAUUAACACCAGG
rnacentral:lncRNA from 1 species